CCUCCCAAGGUUCCUGGUGUAGAUGAUGUAAGCGGAGAGCCUUUGAUUCAACGUAAAGAUGAUACUGCAGCAGUUCUUAAGUCAAGGUUGGAAGCAUUUCACAAGCAAACUGAACCAGUAAUUGAUUAUUAUAAGAACAAGGGUGUUGUUGCAGAUCUUCAUGCAGAAAAACCUCCAAAAGAGGUCACAUCUGAGGUUCAGAAAGUGCUUUCCUCAUAAAAUGGGGCCCUUUUUGACUCACAAAAGCAUUAUUUUUCUCGUGAUAUUAAUGGAUUUUGUUCUUAUGUAUUUUAAACAUACUUUCACACAUGCUGAUCCUUUUGCUUCUGUUUUAUUUUGACUGCAAACACCGGCUAUCCGCCCUUAUUGAGGUAUUUAACUGAGUUCACGUUGAAUAAAGAUGCAGCAACUUUGGUUUUAUCAUUUAUUGCACUCGUG
rnacentral:misc_RNA from 1 species